GUCAAAAGAAAAAAAAAUCAAGAUCCGAUGGAUAUUAUAAAUUUGAGUGACAUUUAACGGGUUGAAAGAAAAGAGUGAGAGGGUUGGAAGCAAGUCUAAACCUCAAAGGUGUUGAAAUGGAAUACAUGGCUUCUCCAGAGAGUAUAUAAUUAUAAUGUGAUUGUAGGACCACCCAAAUCAAGAUAGAAGAAAAAGCAAAUCCUGAAAUUGAAACUGGAAAAAAAAAUCAGCAAAUGGCUCGCAUCGCUUCAAACCCUCUUUCUGUUCCCAGAUUUAGGCCUUACUUUCAAGUUUCUGACACCGCCCUCCUCUUCAAAUCUCCUUCCCUUCCUCCUUAUAGAACUCCCAAGUUUCAAUCCAUCAUCUGUCAUACAAAUCCACUUCCCACCCAAACACAAUCCUCCGACGAGGUACCAACUUCAAUAACGGAAUCAAAGUUUAGGUACCUAGAUUAAUCAAAAAAUGGUUUAGGUUCUAGGCAUGGUGGUGUGGCUUAAAGCGGCUGUUAUAAACGAAGAAGGAACUCAAGCUAUUUUUAUCAGACUAUGAAUGUCAUCUGAAAGAUAUCUCCAUAAAUGUAGAUGGAUCAUUGAUGCUUUCCGAGGGAAAAUCAUGUCUGAAGUUGAAGAUACGAUUAUCAAGAAGAUCAAAGAGGGAAUAAUAAAGCUUGACUCAUUGUUGCAGUCGCUUCCAAAACAACUGCAAGUUAAUAGUAUUGUUGCAUUGAAUGUGACUUUCAUGGAUGACCCUUUGUUUACUAAUUCUUCCGUAGAGCUUGAAAUUAAUGGUUUAUUCAACAGAGCAGAUGAAAUUUCAGUUUCAAACUAUUACAGUAAAAGAGCACGGAAUUUCCUUUCUUGCAAUGGUUUCUGCUUGGAUUGUGCUAUUUCUUUUGUCUCUUGGCAUUUGUUGUGUUUAACAGUUUCUUAUGAUGUUCUGUAGGUUUUAUCUGCCCUUAACUGUACAGAUUUGUAUUGAUGACAUAAGUAGCAGGCAUGGUUAUUGUUCCUUUACACUGGUUUGGCUAUGCGAGAGAACGUAUUGCGAGCAAAUGGAAGUGAUAUUCGUCCAUGAACCAGCUUAUGGUUGAAUCAAUUUCUGAGCUUCAGAAAAAGGGCAAUGAGAUUGAAUGAAAGUGAUCUUUUAAGAGAGUACACUGGACAACGAUAUGAAAUUGAGAUGCCCAUGACGUCUUGGGUGGGUAAAAUACCAGAGUAUCCUCAUCCAGUGGCAUCUUCCAUAUCCAGCAGAGUGAUGGUAGAGCUUGGAAUGGUAACUGCUGUAAUUACUGCCGCAGCAGUUCUUGUUGUAGGGUUUCUAGCAGCUGCUGCAUUUGCUGUCACCAGUUUUAAAUUUAAAUGUAUUAAAUUACAUAUUGAAUCAAUGUUUAUGUAUUAAACUUAAAUUCAUUAAUUUUAUAUUUAGUUUUAAAGUUAAAAUUUUAAUAGAAAA